AAAAAAGGUAAACACAUUCCCCCACCUGCUGAAGUAAGUUACACGGCCACCUCACUUUCCUGGUGAGUUUAGACAAGGAAAGAUAUGGAGAAAUUUGUACAUUAACCAUCAUGGCAGAAACAUGAGGGUAUUCAGCAAACCCAAAGAAGGCGUGCAAUUUACUAACAACACACAAUCUACAUCUGCUACUGCCCCACAACAAUCCAUCAUACCAUUGGAAGUAAUAUUGCAGCAAAUUUAGAAGAUGGAUGAACACCUAACUAGCUUAGAGACAUUGAGCCUUUACAUGGCAGAAAAAUUGGAUUGGAUAGAAGUACUUAUCGAAGCAGUAGAGAGAGCCAUAGAGGUCCCUAUUUGACUAAAGCAAAUUCAACAACUUUCAGAUUCACUCCACCUCCAAGACACGUGAUCAUUGGAGUUGACAUGUUCCCUCACCCUUUUUUUUUUUUUUUAAUUUAUUUACUUAAUCAUCAUUUAUAACACAUUGGGGGCAAUGUGUUGUUUAAGUGUGGGGGUAUUAUGCAUUAUUAUUUCUGCUAUAUUUUUCUUUUUUUAUGAUACUUAUUAAUGAACAUUUUGACUUUGCCCA